UGUCUAUAUGUGAUUUAUUUUUCCACAGAAACCAGACUAAACACGUUUCAUGUAAAUUUGAAUUCAUGGGUAGUGAAAUAGAGGAGAAACAGGCUACGAUUAUCAAGACAGAAAAAAAAAAACCAUUAGCAUGCCUUGUCUGGAAAGAGUGGAACAGCCUACGGCCUCAAAACAAACUAGUAUUUUGCCAAAAAUCCACCAACAUAAGGUCAAAAAUUGGCCAAGGCUGUUGCGUGGAUUUAACCAAUGGCAGUGGACUGGGUGUUAAAGUGACCCCUUUAAAGAGUGUACAAACUUUUUUUAUGGAUGGCUGGACGGACAAAUGGACAGAGGGAUGGGCGGCACCCAGUAGAACGCUGACCUCCAAUAAAGGAGUCCGCCCUUGUUUAUUGUCAUAUUUGAUGUUGAUUUCAGGAUGUGUAAUAAUAAUUUCCCAACAAGUUUAAUCUAAAAACACUUAAAUACAUUUUCCAACACCCAAAACAACUUAAACCAAGAAUCAACAAUGAUCAACCAUAUUAGCUUCUGCCCCAAACAAUAAGCAAAUCUCCAUAGGCCUGACCUUAAAGGAUCCCGCUGCAAUAUGGGCGAGAGAGCAGAGUAGACAAAGCGAGAAAGAGAGAGAGAGAGGGGGGGCUAUCUUACUGAUGGCACCAGGAUGCCGGCACCCCGGCCUGGCAGUUGGCACCAGGCAUGUGCUCCUAGCGCCCACAGCAACUGCCUGCGUUUUUAGAUUUAUGAGCGUACGAUAGAUGAAGACCUCCAUCUUGCCAUCUGCAAUCUCCCCCCCCCCCGAUCCCGUCUAAGCUUCCAGUCACUGACGACACCGGGGAGGCGUAUUUCUGAUUCCAAUCUGGUGCCGCCGCGCCCCGUCCACAGUAGCCAUGGUUGGAAACAUUUUUUUUUUUCAAACUGACAAUAAUAGAAUUUCACUGUAAAGGCUACGUCGAGAACGUGGGUGGAUUUGGUGGCGACUGACCACAGCUUAAGUUAAAGGACACCAGUCAUUUGCCAAAAAGUGGCCACUUAAAUCGAAAAAAGUCGGAUCUGCUGUCGGGUGGGAGGCUGUAACCGGCAAGCGAUCCCAAGAGGGAUGCUACAUCACCACACGGAUUCUGGAAAAUGUAUUCGGCGACUUGUGUCGUACAUCAUUUUAAAACUCUUGAUGAGGAAUUUCCAUCUCUCUUUUUUGUUUGUGUGUGUGUAUGUGUGUGACGGCAAAAUUGUUUUAAAUAGCGGCGAAUCCAGCCGUGCCCUUUUGAAGCGUGGCGACCAAAUUAUUAACAAAAAGGUCAGCAUGUGUAAAAAAAAAAAAGAGUUUUACAAUCAAUGUAGCUUGAAAAGAGCUUUGAGUAAAAGCAUUUGCCUGAUCCUGUGAUGGACUCGAGAAUAUGUCGGUUAUUGACUGCGAACUAAAACGGAAUAUCCCCCCCAAAAAUAAUCGAUGGAGUAAUUGAUAGGAUCAUUCGAUUCCAAAAAGAUUGCCGUAAUUUAAACAACUAAAAUCAACAAAAUGGAAGCAAACGUGCUUAGAAUACACGAAAACGUGACGGCCAACCUGCCCUUCUCCAUCUUUGACUGUUUUUAACAAAGCCUUUCCACUCCCCUCUCCUUCCAUCUAUCCCUCCCUUCCUCCCUCCCCCCAUGGCCUGAGGGGAGGCUCUCGGCCUCCCAGACGCUUACAGACAGAUGUCCUUGGCGGAGCACAACAUGCUCUGCUUGACGUCACAAGCGACUGCGGGGUUGCGAACGACGCUAAAUGGAAUCGCCGGCUGAAGACGCUGCCGUUAAAGGUUGACCGGACCCUCGGCCACCUCCCCCAUUUUUUCUCCGACAGGACACAGUGGUAACACCUCCGAUAAGAAUAUGAAGCGCCCGGGAGGACAUUGCUGGCAUGGAA